rnacentral:rRNA from 1 species
AUUGAACGCUGGCCGCAUGCCUUACACAUGCAAGUCGAACGGCAGCACGGGAGCAAUCCUGGUGGCGAGUGGCGAACGGGUGAGUAAAGUAUCGGAACGUGCCCAGUCGUGGGGGAUAACGUAGCGAAAGUUACGCUAAUACCGCAUACGAUCUGUGGAUGAAAGCGGGGGAUCGCAAGACCUUGCGCGAUUGGAGCGGCCGAUAUCAGAUUAGGUAGUUGGUGGGGUAAAGGCUCACCAAGCCGACGAUCUGUAGCUGGUCUGAGAGGACGACCAGCCACACUGGGACUGAGACACGGCCCAGACUCCUACGGGAGGCAGCAGUGGGGAAUUUUGGACAAUGGGCGAAAGCCUGAUCCAGCCAUGCCGCGUGCAGGAUGAAGGCCUUCGGGUUGUAAACUGCUUUUGUACGGAACGAAAAGGUUUGGCCUAAUAAGCUGAGCUCAUGACGGUACCGUAAGAAUAAGCACCGGCUAACUACGUGCCAGCCGCCGCGGUAA